rnacentral:miRNA from 1 species
AGUAUUAGGUUGGUGCAAAGGUAAUUGUGGUUUUUGCCAUUGAAAAUGAUGACAAAGAACUACAGUUACUUUUGCAUCAACUUAAUAGA